rnacentral:lncRNA from 1 species
UCCAUGGUUUAUCACUACCCACUACAUGUUAUCCCAUAAUACCCAUUAAUCGACGAUAAACCCCCCUUACCUGAGUUAAUCCGGCAAUCCUUCGGCUUCGAGCUCUUCCUCUCUUCAACCCUUGUUCUCUUCGACGAUAAACCCCCUUACCUGAAUUAACCCGGAAAUCUUUAAGCUCCAAGCUUUUCUCUUCUCCAACCUUCUUCCUCUUGCUCUGUCUCUUUGCCCUUUUCCUCUUUUCAGC